rnacentral:rRNA from 1 species
UACGUAGGGGGCAAGCGUUGUCCGGAUUUAUUGGGCGUAAAGAGCGUGUAGGCGGCCAGGUAGGUCCGUUGUGAAAACUCGAGGCUCAACCUCGAGACGUCGAUGGAAACCAUCUGGCUAGAGUACGGAAGAGGAGAGUGGAAUUCCUGGUGUAGCGGUGAAAUGCGCAGAUAUCAGGAGGAACACCGAUUGCGAAGGCAGCUCGCUGGGACGUGACUGACGCUGAGACGCGAAAGCGUGGGGAGCAAACAGG